CGACUGGAAUUCACCUUCGGGUGAUAGUACGGUGGCGGACGGGUGAGUAACGCGUAAAGAACUCGCCCUCUAGACUGGGACAACUGUUGGAAACGACAGCUAAUACCGGAUAUUAUGAGAUUUCCGCAUGGGAAACUUAUGAAAGGCUAUAUGCGCUAGAGGAGAGCUUUGCGUGCCAUUAGGUAGUUGGUAGGGUAAUGGCCUACCAAGCCGACGAUGGCUAGCCGGCCUGAGAGGGUGAUCGGCCACAAGGGGACUGAGACACGGCCCUUACUCCUACGGGAGGCAGCAGUGGGGAAUAUUGGACAAUGGACCAAAAGUCUGAUCCAGCAAUUCUGUGUGCACGAUGAAGGUUUUCGGAUCAAGUGCUUUCAGGUGGGAAGAAAAAAAUGACGGUACCACCAGAAGAAGCGACGCUAAAUACGUGCCAGCAGCCGCGGUAAUACGUAUGUCGCAAGCGUUAUCCGGAAUUAUUGGGCGUAAAGCGCGUCUAGCGGCUUUUAAGUCUGAUGUGAAAAUGCGGGGCUCAACUCCUAUUGCGUUGGAAACUGGA
rnacentral:rRNA from 1 species